GUGGGGAAUCUUCCGCAAUGGACGAAAGUCUGACGGAGCAACGCCGCGUGAGUGAAGAAGGUUUUCGGAUCGUAAAGCUCUUUCGUUAGGGACGAACGUGCUCUUUGUGAAUAAUGAGGAGUAAUGACGGUACCUAAAUAAGAAGCCACGGCUAACUACGUGCCAGCAGCCGCGGUAAUACGUAGGUGGCAAGCGUUGUCCGGAAUUAUUGGGCGUAAAGCGCGCGCAGGCGGGAUAUCAAGUCUGUCUUAAAAGUGCGAGGCUCAACCUCGUGAGGGGACAGAAACUGGUAUUCUUGAGUGUCGGAGAGGAAAGUGGAAGUCCAAGUGUAGCGGUGAAAUGCGUAGAGAUUUGGAAGAACACCAGUGGCGAAGGCGACUUUCUGGACGAUGUCUGACGCUGAGGCGCGAAAGCUAGGGGAGCGAACGGGAUUAGAAACCCCGGUAGUCC
rnacentral:rRNA from 1 species